rnacentral:siRNA from 1 species
UCGAAAAACUUAUGUGCAUAUGGU